ensembl:misc_RNA Y_RNA Y RNA
GGCUGGUCCAAUGGUAGUGGGUUAUCAGAACUUAUUAACAUUAGUGUCACUAAAGUUGGUAUUCAACCCCCCACUGCUAAAUUUGUCUGGCUAAAA